rnacentral:lncRNA from 1 species
UGCUGUUUUCACAUAAAAAAUCUACUCAAUCAUCGAUUUUCUCAUGAAUGAUUAGUUUAAAGUGAGUUGAGAAAGAUAGAGAUGAAUCUCUACAACGUAAUUCUAGGAAGGUUUGGCUGCCCUAAUUAGUUGCAUAAAAUUCUUGCGUAUCUUUAUAAUAUCAAAUUUUCCGCAAGGUGUAUUUUUCUUUGAACUCAUUGCACAUUUAGCCGGAUAGGAUUUUCAAAGCAUAUGGCUAUAAAUCUCCAAAAAUC